GCAGCCAAGAAGAGUGCCUGAGGAGCCCAUUUCCCCGCCCCGUUGAAUUGGAUAGGCGUGGAUGGAUUAGGUUUCAUUACUGCCCGGUGCCAUCCAGUGGUACAAGGCCCCCCUUUUCUUGGCAUACGCCGAAUCUGGCGAAGCUCUGUCUGAUGGAAAGUUAACCCCCACAGUCCAACCGGGCACACCAAAAGAACAAACCCAGAUUAUAAACUGGUGAUGAACUCUCUCCAUGCUGGGACACCUCAGAUUCCUGUCUGCUUCCCACAGACUGAACCUGGAAACACGUGAAAUAUCUACAACUCGUGGAAAAUCCCUCAUCGGGAAGU